GUGGAUGUAGCUCAGCGGUAGAGUCCGAGAUUGUGGAUCUCGUCGUCGCGGGUUCAAACCCCGUCAUCCACCCUA
rnacentral:tRNA from 1 species